CUGACUGUGCACUCCUCUGUAAGAUGAGCUACUGGAGCCUCUUCACUGAGGGACUUCCAAUGUCAGUGCUCUUUCCCCCUGGGCUGUGCAGAGUCCUCAAGAAGGCUCUUCCGAUCUUCUGCCUGGAGCUCCAGGUGAAGCUUAGCUUCCACUCACCUGGAACCUGAGAAGAGGAAGAGAGAUCAGAUGGGGGAUGUGUUCACCAUUCAGAUGAGGCAAGGACAAGCAGGAGGCCUUUGGUGUGCCCUCGGAAGUCCGCCUUUGGUGCUCACUGAGCCACUCUGAGAAUGGAGCGAUCCGGCCGGGAGCUGUGUCUCAACUUCACCAUUGUCCUGAUUACGGUUAUCCUUAUGUGGCUCAUUGUGAGGUCCUAUCAGUGAGACAGCAUGCCACUCUCCUGGGAUUGACUGCAACGCUCCAGAGCUGCCUGCUGUGUGCCCUGAGCUCCCACUGCUGUAAUGGGAUGCCUCUCUCGGUACCCCACGGCACUUCUGACCUGCACUCACAGUAUCUGAGGUGCCUCCAGUGUUAGGAUCAAUUGUGUGUUCUCUAAACAUGCUGCUCUCAAGGGCUGCCAAGCGUUUGCCAGUGAACAUUAGAUUUAUUCCCCAAUUUAGAUAAGCCACAGGGUUAAAACGAAACUGGAUUCAUGAUGAUGUAAAAUUACACAAAGCCUGUAAUCUGUCUCACCACAUGUCCCUUCAACCCACACUGUCUGCAACCAAACUUUAAAUCAUCCCGCCAGAGGAAAGAAAUGUUAGAGGAAGUCUUUGUCAGCCCCUGUCACAGCUAUCAUGUGAAUAAAGUUAAAGCAACCACAAAAA